UGGGGAAUAUUGCACAAUGGGCGCAAGCCUGAUGCAGCCAUGCCGCGUGUAUGAAGAAGGCCUUCGGGUUGUAAAGUACUUUCAGUCGGGAGGAAGGUGUCAAGGUUAAUAACCUUGGCAAUUGACGUUACCGACAGAAGAAGCACCGGCUAACUCCGUGCCAGCAGCCGCGGUAAUACGGAGGGUGCAAGCGUUAAUCGGAAUUACUGGGCGUAAAGCGCACGCAGGCGGUUGAUUGAGUCAGAUGUGAAAUCCCCGGGCUCAACCUGGGAACUGCAUUCGAAACUGGCAGGCUAGAGGCUUGUAGAGGGGGGUAGAAUUCCAGGUGUAGCGGUGAAAUGCGUAGAGAUCUGGAGGAAUACCGGUGGCGAAGGCGGCCCCCUGGACAAAGACUGACGCUCAGGUGCGAAAGCGUGGGGAGCAAACAGG
rnacentral:rRNA from 1 species